GGGGAAUUUUGCACAAUGGGCGAAAGCCUGAUGCAGCGACGCCGCGUGAGGGAUGGAGGCCUUCGGGUUGUGAACCUCUUUCGCUCAUGGUCAAGCCGCGAGUGUGCUCGUGGUGAGGGUAGUGGGUAAAGAAGCUCCGGCUAACUACGUGCCAGCAGCCGCGGUAAUACGUAGGGAGCGAGCGUUGUCCGGAAUUAUUGGGCGUAAAGGGCUUGUAGGCGGUUUGUCGCGUCUGCCGUGAAAUUCCUUGGCUUAACUGGGGGAGUGCGGUGGGUACGGGCAGGCUUGAGUGCGGUAGGGGAGACUGGAAUUCCUGGUGUAGCGGUGGAAUGCGCAGAUAUCAGGAGGAACACCGGUGGCGAAGGCGGGUCUCUGGGCCGUUACUGACGCUGAGGAGCGAAAGCGUGGGGAGCGAACA
rnacentral:rRNA from 1 species